AUUGAACGCUGGCGGCAUGCCUUACACAUGCGAGUCGAACGGCAGCACGGGUGCUUGCACCUGGUGGCGAGUGGCGAACGGGUGAGUAAUACAUCGGAACAUGUCCUGUAGUGGGGGAUAGCCCGGCGAAAGCCGGAUUAAUACCGCAUACGAUCUACGGAUGAAAGCGGGGGACCUUCGGGCCUCGCGCUAUAGGGUUGGCCGAUGGCUGAUUAGCUAGUUGGUGGGGUAAAGGCCUACCAAGGCGACGAUCAGUAGCUGGUCUGAGAGGACGACCAGCGACACUGGGACUGGGCCACGGCCCAGACUCCUACGGGAGGCAGCAGUGGGGAAUUUUGGACAAUGGGCGAAAGCCUGAUCCAGCAAUGCCGCGUGUGUGAAGAAGGCCUUCGGGUUGUAAAGCACUUUUGUCCGGAAAGAAAUCCUUGGCCCUAAUACGGUCGGGGGAUGACGGUACCGGAAGAAUAAGCACCGGCUAACUACGU
rnacentral:rRNA from 1 species